CUUGUUGUUUUAUUAAACGGUGUAAAAUGAACAAUUUGUUCAACCUUGCCAAAAAAUCUGAUAACUGGACUUGUUUAAGGUUGUUUUGCAGAUAAAGAGUCAUUGUUUUGUGUGUUUAUUGCACUAGUACAGGUGCAGGAAAUGGCAAAUUUAAAUGCCUGGGAGUAUUGGCGGUUAUUCUUCAUCUGGUUGUUAUGAUUUAGAUUUAGAACACCAUAUCCUUUCAAAUGGUAUUUUCGCGUUAAAAAUCGAUUGUCUGCACACCAAAUUUAAUAAACUGUAGCUUAUUAAAUUAAAGAGUCGUGAGUUGGAAUUGCGAUUUUACGAUUUGAAUCACUUAGCUUCGUUCGAUAUAAAAGUAAAAGGCUGGAAUGUGUGAUUAGCUCACCCUGUACACAGUAACGCACCUACAUUUACAUUUCUGGAGCAAGCUAAAUGGCUGUUUUUUUUUCGUCGAAAACUAUUAUGUCUCACUUUCACUAAGAUGUAACGCAAACUAAAAUAUAGUUUAAAUGAAUGUAAUUUUGUAGUUUUGGUUGAAAAGUUAAUUUAUUGAGCAAUUCAACUGUGACCAUGAUCACAUGUUGUUGUUGUAAGAACUUGUGCUGGUUUGAAAUUGGGGGGAAAAAUCCUCCUGAUUGAAAUUCACAAAAGUUUGGAAAAUUGCAUAAAGGCACGAAAUUUUGUGUAAUUUCGAGUGAUUGGAGUGUUACAAGGCAAGCGGAUUUAUUAGGCGACCUUCUUGAACUUUCUUCCACUUAAUUAACCAUGAUCUCGAAUUUUGAUUUAUAUUUUCAUUUGAAAACAAUAUCUUACAAAAAAGUAAUUAAUUGAAUAAAAAAUCUAUUGUCUGGUGUUGUCAAGGCCGGAGCCAUUUUUUCGGCUUUCUCCUUUAAUUGCCGUCUCUUGUAAAGUACUGAAAAAAUUGUUACGUUCAAGUAACGUCUAGUUUUCCUCAUUUUUUCAAAAAUUUACCUACAUUUACAUAAUUUUGAAAUAGUUAAGUACCCACGUUAGAUAAUUUUGUGAUUGCAGUCGAAUUAAUCAAUCAUUUCACAAUCUCAAAUAUCGAAAAAAUCUAACAAUAAAAUUGAGAAAGCUCCAGCUUUUUUUCAUUUAUUAAUAACAAAGAAUGUGUGAAACGAAACCACUCAAGCUUAAAAUAAAUAAUAGCAAAUGUUGUUACACAACCACAAAUUUUGGUGCAUUUCCUAUUCUCUGUCAACGUUUCAAUAACUAUGCCAAAAACUGUCAAAAGUGAUGGAAUUUUCGUCUUUGAGCGAAUUUUUGGCGUCAUAAUGGUGGCCUUUCAUUUAUUAGAGGUUUUCGUUUAUCUUUUCUACUUAAUUAUUUUUGCGUACGUCAUUCUUAUCUUCUAUUUCCUUUUCUUCGUUUGAUGAGGCAAUUUUAAUUAUUAUAACAUGACUUGCAUUUAAUAUUAAUGAGUUUAGGAAAAAAUGCAGUACGCGUGUGAGUGCUUCAUUAGUAUUAUGAAUAAAUAAAAAAACACUAGAUUGCUACAAAGUAUUUUACUGGAAUACCGUGAGCGGUCAAGCCUGAAAAUACUCUUUUAUUUUUUAAUGAAGAAAUAGAGAAAUUUCGUCUUGAACUUGACUGUGACAUUUCCAACAAUACGAUCAAGUUUCAAUUUUUGAAACAUGUUGACAUUGUACUCCUGACAUUUUCAUAAAAACGUUAUCCUAGGUCGGGUCGUCUUUUAAUCGACUUGUUUUUACAGCUCGUUGCACAAUUUUAAUUGUUUGUCCUCAUCAAUGGAUCGAACUUUUAGUUUUAGAAGGAAAAAAUUCAUUAAUUAGAUAAAGACCUUCUUGUAGUGUUUUACAUCAUUUCCGCAAUGCCAUUUUUAUGCAUAUGAAAAUAUGAAUGUUUGUACAAAUAUGGAAUAAAAUAAUAAAAAUGAAAUAAAAUAAAUCGGGCUGUUAAGGCGAGAAAUUUCAAACUCGUGACAUUUCGUAAUACAAGUCACGAGUUUUUAUUACAUUUCGUUUUUUUAAUGAUCGAUUGAUAGGAAAUAAAACACAUUUUUAUGAAUCGAUUUAUUUGGCAAGUGUCAAAUCAGCCCCACCUUAAAAAAAACUGUCUCAUCUAGUCCAGGGCCAGUUCACACCUGCAUUUGAAAGGUAAGUAUUCACAAUUUAAACGUGUUUCCUGCUGCUGGAGUGCAAAUUGUAAACAAACCGACAAGGUCAGGUGUGAUUGUGCUGCAUUUUUAUCACAUCAUCAUCACAAAUGAUUUUUGUGCGAAAAAUACGAUAAACUUUCUCGCUAUUAAUCCAUCAUUCAAAGUUUUAAUUGCGUUUCCUAUGGGUGGAGUAAGUGAAUCGACAUUUUGAUUUAUUUAUCGAAUUGUCAUCAGGUCAACAAAUGCGAGAUCAAGCUGCGAACUUGUAUUAUUUACUGGGUAAUUAAAUGUGUAAACUUAUGUAAGGUGUUUUAAGUAAUUUGCAAAAAAUGUUCCGAUUUCAAACAUGAGUAAAUUUUUGUACUAGUGAAAGUUCCAAAUUUAUUCACGAGCAAAUUUCGACAGAUUACCAGACACAUUCUUAUCUCAGAAAUGGGUGUAUCAAUUUCGUUAAUUAAUUUUACGUUUUUUCCGCCAAUGAUACAAAUUUGUAAUCUUUAAACAGCAUCAUAAAGAUGAUGAUUAAUAGGUGAAGGCUGAUGACACUAUGAAGGUGUGUCUGUAGUAAACAAUAAUAUUGAAUGAAAGGUUUUUUUUCAUUUUACAUAUUUUCUCAUGGUUCCAAUUCUCAAACGAUGUCAAAAUAUUUGUAAAUUAAUUUAUUAAUUAAUGUUUCCGCAUAUUUAUCGAUCAUAACACUAAAUCACAUCAAUUAGGAGCACAAGGGGGCCAAAAAUUAUUUUUUGCGCAGUUUUCGAAACAAAAUAGGACAAUACUACGGAUAUCUAAAGGUUAGGAUGUGGAACGAAGUAUCAAUAAAACGUUUCCGUUACCAGAAAGCGCCGAUUGUUUUAUUAUUGUCCCAUUUUCGAAAAAGUGGUUGUAUUUGUAUAAUGGUUAACACAUAGCAAGAUUAUUUUAUCUUCAACUUCUAACUUCUAGAAGUUGAAGAUAAAAUAAUUCAGAUUCCAGCAUUUUCUGCCGGUCAUGCAACCAAAAAUACACAAUAUUACAUUUUUUAUAUGAGUUAAUUAAAUUUAAAUUGCGUUGUUUGUACUAUUUUUUGUGGGUUCUCCUAAACCAGAAAGCUAAUGAAAAGCCCAGACAAAUUCUUUAGAUAACGUUUUUAUUUAUAAAUUACUUUACAUUGAAAAAAAUCUCCUUUGUGGUAACGUCUUGUUAUCACAAAUUCGCGGUUUAUCGCUUCUAAUCUUGCUACAGACAACAGCUGCAAAGUCCACAAGCGACAUUUCCUGCAGAUUAUCAUCAAACUGAUCAUCAUAGACCACAGUUGGAACGAAUGAAAUAUUUGGUUCAAGAUCAUAGGUCCUAGAGCCAUGUUUAGCUAACAAAUCAUCUCCUUGAUUGGUCGUUGCACAUUUGAUGAUUUUCC